CCUAACACAUGCAAGUCGAACGGUAACAGGAAAGCAGCUUGCUGCUUUGCUGACGAGUGGCGGACGGGUGAGUAAUGUCUGGGAAACUGCCUGAUGGAGGGGGAUAACUACUGGAAACGGUAGCUAAUACCGCAUAAUGUCGCAAGACGAGGAGGGGGGGACCUUCGGGCCUCUUGCCAUCGGAUGUGCCCAGAUGGGAUUAGCUAGUAGGUGGGGUAACGGCUCACCUAGGCGACGAUCCCUAGCUGGUCUGAGAGGAUGACCAGCCACACUGGAACUGAGACACGGUCCAGACUCCUACGGGAGGCAGCAGUGGGGAAUAUUGCACAAUGGGCGCAAGCCUGAUGCAGCCAUGCCGCGUGUAUGAAGAAGGCCUUCGGGUUGUAAAGUACUUUCAGCGGGGAGGAAGGGAGUAAAGUUAAUACCUCCGCUCAUUGACGUUACCCGCAGAAGAAGCACCGGCUAACUCCGUGCCAGCAGCCGCGGUAAAU
rnacentral:rRNA from 1 species